CUGACUCUCUCAGAAGACAGAGCUGGAAAUGAGAGGUGUUGAGCCAAGGCAAGACUUAGGUAGGCCAAAUCGAAGCUGCCGAAUAUAUAUGUUAUCGAAAUGGAAAGGCAAAUAAAAGUUGAGUGCUGCUAGUAUUCAAUACCUCACCUUCUGAACUGAAACUUGACCUCUUCACUGACAGGUAAUUAAAUAAUUACAGCUGCUUACUGCUACAUUACAGAUCAACCUACGAGAUCCAGAACACAGUGAUUUCCCAUUAAGAUCGGAUACCAAUCAAUUGCUGGGGAAGCAUUUUUCUUCCCUCUUCCCCUUUAUCAAAGAUUAUGGGACAGAGAACCGAAACGAAAAAUAAUUCAAAGGACCCAAGAUUCAAAGAAGCCUAAAAACGAAGGAAGGGUGUUACCUGUAAGGAGGAGGCGGGUAGAAGA